rnacentral:piRNA from 1 species
UGAAGAUCCCAAACAUCCCUACUUACGUGC